CAAAUUAGAACUUGAAAUAAGUAUUUUAUUUACAUUAAAAAAAUAAUUGUGAAAUUCAAUUUAAUUUGA
rnacentral:tRNA from 1 species